GUCUUUAUUCAGGGUUGGGGAACAAUUGGUUAGAGCGUGGUACUGAUAAUGCCAAGGUUGCAGGUUCGAUCCCCAUAUGGGACA